rnacentral:lncRNA from 1 species
AGAUAAUCAUAUAAUUUCAUAUAAUAGAAGCAUAGAAGUUAUUGUAUAUAUCAACAAAACUUAUUAUACAGAACUUCUAUUAUAUAUGAAAAUCAGAUAGUUAGUUAAUCAUUGUUCAAUAAAUUUUAAUGAAUAUUGAAAUUUUUGUGUGUAAAAAGAUUGAAUAUUUCAAUCAGAAUCACUUUGUUCGUUAUGUCCUGUAUUUAUCUCUUACCUACGCGUACCAGCCGCCACUGUUGAAAAAAUAAAUGUUUAGUGUUUUUCAUAUUCCAUCAUCUGUAAAGUGUCUCAGUCAGCUGUAGACUGAUUCUAAGCAAAUAAACAACUAUCACAAAAGUACACUUUGUUCAUUUGCCUUACGAAUUUCCACAAUCGCUACUAAGAUAAAGAACAUCUACAUACCAAAUUCAGUGUACAGUCGAUGCAGUAGAUAGUUUGUCCUCUACCCAAGAGUUGGCGCCAACGAAUACAUCCUAGUGGCAGUUGAUGGUUACUCAAAGUUAAACUGGUUGCUUCCAUCGAAAAAUUACGUCAGGUCCCAAGGAUACUAAAAAGAGAGAUUGAAGAGACUUUAGAACUAAAUACCCUGAGAAGAGAGUCCCUCUCUUCUGAUGGUCUUUGGUUCCAAAGUCUCCAUGGAGAGAUGCACGAGGAAGUUGGAAGCCAAGAGUUCAUAGAAGAAAUAUUGAAGGGGUAUUAAAAUUCUUUCGUUGAGAAGGGUCACAGAAGAAAUAAUGUAAUUCAAUAUUAUUUGCAAUAUAAUCAAAUUAUAUUAACCAGUUCAAGAAUGUUAUUUUACUUGUUGGCUAAUAAUAUAUUUAUAUAAAAUUAUAAUGUUGAAUAUGUUUGUCUAUACAAUUCACAGGUCCCAAGGAUACUAAAAAGAGAGAUUGAAGAGACUUUAGAUCUAAAUACCCUGAGAAGAGAGUCCCUCUCUUCUGAUGGUCUUUGGUUCCAAAGUCUCCAUGGAGAGAUGCACGAGGAAGUUGGAAGCCAAGAGUUCAUAGAAGAAAUAUUGAAGGGGUAUUAAAAUUCUUUCGUUGAGAAGGGUCACAGAAGAAAUAAUGUCCCAAGGAUACUAAAAAGAGACAUUGAAGAGACUUUAGAUCUAAAUACCCUGAGAAGAGAGUCCCUCUCUUCUGAUGGUCUUUGGUUCCAAAGUCUCCAUGGAGAGAUGCACGAGGGAGUUGGAAGCCAAGAGUUCUUAGAAGAAAUAUUGAACAGGAUACCAAGAAGAGAGAUUGGAGAGAAUUUGGAUCCAAAUACACUGAGAAGACAGUCCCUCUCUUCCAAUGGUUUUCGGUUCCAAAGACUCCAUUGAUAGAUAAAGAAGAGGGUUCGUUUCCAAGAAGCUUAGAAGAAUUUUUUACGAUGUAUCAAGAAUUUUAAAAUUCUAACCUUAUAUAACCUUCGAUUUAACAGCCUACAAAAGGCAGGACAAAGUUAAAUAACUUUUGUGAUAUAGUUUAAAACCUGUUGUUUUAAGGUAUGAUAUUUUAUUUCUUAACUAAUUAUAUAUCCACAUGAAAUAUAAUACACAUAUUUGUGAAUACACUUAACAGUUCAUAAGAAUACUAAGAAGACACGUUGAAGAGAAUUUGAGUCUCUCUCUUCUGAUGGUUUUCGGUUCCAAAGUAUUCAUGGAGAGAGUUCGAAGCCAAAAGUUCUUAUAAGGAAUAUUAAAGGUUUAUCAAGAUUUUUUCAUUGAGAAGUUCACAUAAGACAGAAUGUAGUUAAAUAUAAUUUGCAAUAUAAUAAAUUCUAUUGACCAGUUCAA